rnacentral:rRNA from 1 species
UCAAGCACAAGACGGCGCACGGUGGAUGCCUUGGCACCGAGAGGCGAUGAAGGACGUGGUAAGCUGCGAUAAGCCUGGGGGAGCUGCACACAAGCCGUGAUCCCAGGAUGUCCGAAUGGGGCAACCCGGCGCGAGGCGACUCGCGUCACGUCGCAAGACGAGCCAACCCGGGGAAGUGAAACAUCUCAGUACCCGGAGGAAGAGAAAGCAACCGCGAUCCCCCGAGUAGCGGCGAGCGAACGGGGGCCAGCCCAAACCGGUGGAGCUUGCUCCGCCGGGGUUGUGGGACCGCAACAUGGGAGCACGAGACUAAACCGAAGCGGCCUGGAACGGCCCGCCACAGACGGUGACAGCCCGGUACGUGUACGUCUACGGCCCCUAGCGGUAUCCCGAGUACCGCGGGACACGUGUAAUCCUGCGGGAAGCUGGGGGGACCACCCUCCAAGGCUAAAUACUCCUCGGUGACCGAUAGUGCACCAGUACCGUGAGGGAAAGGUGAAAAGAACGCCAGGUGGCGAGUGAAAUAGAUCCUGAAACCGUGCGCUCACAAGCGGUCGGAGGAAGCGCGGCACUUCGGUGUCGUGUCUUCUGACGGCGUGCCUUUUGCAUUAUGACCCGGGGAGUUACUCGUCGGCAGCAGGUUAAGGCCCUCAGGGCCGGAGCCAAAGCGAAAGCGAGUCUGAAUAGGGCGACGCGUUGCCGGCGGUAGACCCGAAGCCGUGGCGAUCUACCCUUGAGCAGGGUGAAGCGGCCGUAACAGGUCGUGGAGGCCCGAACCGUUGUGGGUUGAAAACCGCUCGGAUGACUUGAGGGUAGGGGUGAAAGGCCAAUCAAGCGCGGGGAUAGCUGGUUCUCUCCGAAACAUAUUUUGGUAUGGCCUCUGGAAAUGAGUCCACAGGAGGUAGAGCACUGGAUGGGUUCGGGUGGCGUAUAGCCAUACCUCCCCCAACCAAACUCCGAAUGCCUGUGUGAUGCUGCCAGGGAGACAGUCGACGGGCGAUAAUGUCCGUUGGCGAGAGGGAAAGAACCCAGACCGUCUGCUAAGGCCCCGGAGUGGCGGCUCAGUGUAACUAAGGAUGUGGACAUGCUGUGACAACUGGGAGGUUGGCUUAGAAGCAGCCAUCCUUUAAAGAGUGCGUAAUAGCUCACCAGUCCAGCGCGUCCGCGCCGAUAAUGGUCGGGACUCAAGCCGCCCGCCGAAGCAACGGAUCGACGGCGCAAGCCGUCGAUGGUAGGAGAGCGUUCCCAUUGCACUGAAGCCGGGGCGGAAGCCACCGGUGGAGCGAUGGGAAGUGAGGAUCCCGGGACGAGUACGCGAGAAACAGGGUGAAAACCCCUGUCACCGUAAGCCUAAGGGUUCCUGAGCCACGUCGAUCAGCUCAGGGUUAGUCGGUCCCUAAGGUGAGGCCGAAAGGCGUAACCGAUGGGAAACGGGUCAAUAUUCCCGUACCGACCUAUGUCCGUUCGAGCCUGAGGAGGGACGCAGGAGCACGGGGUUCGUCGGGUGGGUGGAUUAUCCGAUGUAAGGUCGUAGGCGUUCCCGGGUAGGCAAAUCCGCCCGGGUAGCCGAGAGCCGAUGCCGAAGGGGUCGUAAGACCCCGCAAAGGAAACCCAACGCACACUGCCGAGAAAAGCUUCGCAGGCGAGGCCAACGGUCGACCGUACCGCAAACCGACACAGGUAGGCGAGGCGAGUAGCCUCAGGUGCUCGAGUGAUUUACGGAGAAGGAACUCGGCAAAAUGACCCCGUAACUUCGGAAGAAGGGGUGCCGGUCGUACGUGACCCCGCACAGGGGAAGCGGAGCCCGGCCGCAGAGAAUCGCGUCAAGCGACUGUUUAGCAAAAACACAGGUGCCUGCUAAAGCGUCUUCCAAGCUGACGUAUAGGCACUGACGCCUGCCCGGUGCCGGAAGGUUAAAGCGAGGGGUUAGCUCCUUCGGGAGCGAGGCUCUGAACUGAAGCCCCGGUAAACGGCGGCCGUAACUAUAACGGUCCUAAGGUAGCGAAAUUCCUUGUCGGGUAAGUUCCGACCUGCACGAAUGGCGUAACGACUUGACGGCUGUCUCCUCCGUAAGCUCGGCGAAACUGCAGUAUCGGUGAGGAUUCCGAUUUCCCGCCAUAGGACAAAAAGACCCCAUGCACCUUUACUAUAGCCUGCUAUUGGACGCCGGCAUGACAUGCGUAGCAUAGGUGGGAGCCGUUGAUCCCCCGGUUUCGGCUGGGGGGGAGGCAACAGUGAAAUACCACCCUUGUUUUGUUGACGUCCUCACUCCGUCGGUACCCCGA